CUCCCCUGAAUUCAUUUGCUGUGGCAAAUAUGGCUUCCUUAAAAUCUGCUGUUUAUGAAAAUACAGGACACAACAAAAAGACAGCUGUCUGCAAGUCAUGAAGACAGCCAUUACCAGGAACCAAACUGAAUGGUACCUUGAUCUUGUGCUUUUCGGUCUCGAGAGCUGUGAGAAACAAAUGCCUGCUGUUCAAAUUGUCCAGCCUAUGGUAUUUUGUUACGGCAGUCUGAGCUGACCAAGAUAACCGGAAACCUAGAAAAAAAACUGAGAGACUAGAUAACACAUGCUCCAGAAAAAAAAGUACUUGAUCCAGAAAAAGUUGAGGAAGGAGAUAUCUUUUUCAGUUGUGCGUCAAUUUCAGUAUGUUGCCUGCAAUAACAAAUAAAUAAUUGAUGAACUAAAUGGACGUUAUGUCAUAUAAACUCUUAAUAAGAACACCUAUGAAUAUUUAUGAAGAGCAUAAUUUUACAGAGGAACACCCAAGUAAUGGUCACAGGAAUUGAAGAGCUUGCAAGGGUCAAGCGCUAAUCAGUGAUGGAACUUGGUUUUAAACUCCAUUAUUUCCUGCAGCAGAGUCUACAUCCUCAAAUGUUUCACCAUGCCAUCUACAGUCUGAUGUGCUUUCCAGAUUUCUCACCAUUCCACUUGAUCUCCUUUAAAUGACUUUGAUUUGAGAGUGUGCAUCUUCAAAUAUAGUGCUCAGAACUGGAUGCAAUGCUCACAAUAUCAUGUGACCAGCACUAAGUCGAUACAAGUUUAUUCCUUUGAAUUUGUCCUGGCGUUUGACAAGGAUAUUGUGGAUAUUAAAGAUAUUUAUUUCACAA
ensembl:lncRNA LINC01216 long intergenic non-protein coding RNA 1216